rnacentral:rRNA from 1 species
AACGAAUGCUGGCGGCAUGCCUAACACAUGCAAGUCGAACGAGACCUUCGGGUCUAGUGGCGCACGGGUGCGUAACGCGUGGGAACCUGCCCUUAGGUUCGGAAUAACUCCCCGAAAGGGGUGCUAAUACCGGAUAAUGUCUUCGGACCAAAGAUUUAUCGCCUUUGGAUGGGCCCGCGUUGGAUUAGCUAGUUGGUAGGGUAAAAGCCUACCAAGGCGACGAUCCAUAGCUGGUCUGAGAGGAUGAUCAGCCACACUGGGACUGAGACACGGCCCAGACUCCUACGGGAGGCAGCAGUGGGGAAUAUUGGACAAUGGGCGAAAGCCUGAUACAGCAAUGCCGCGUGAGUGAUGAAGGCCUUAGGGUUGUAAAGCUCUUUUACCCGGGAUGAUAAUGACAGUACCGGGAGAAUAAGCUCCGGCUAACUCCGUG